CCCUUAGAUGGUCUGGGCGGCACGCGCGCUACAAUGAUGCAUUGAAAAAGUCUUCUGACCUUAGAAGGUUGGGUAUUCUCCAAAGUGCAUCGUGAUGGGAAUAGUUUAUUGCAAUUUUUAAUCUUGAACGAGGAAUUCCUAUUAAGUACAGGUCAUCAACUUGUGUUGAUUACGUCCCUGCCCUUUGUACACACCGCCCGUCGCUCCUACCGAUUGAGUGAGCCGAUGAAACUGCCGGAUGUGGACUAUUCAUAGUCUGCAGAAGAUAUUUGAAUCGUAGCGCUUAGAGGAAGGAGAAGUCGUAACA
rnacentral:rRNA from 1 species